GAUUCUUCAAGAGUCACGAACAAACGAUGGGCUUUAAUUACUAAAACUGCAACAGUAAAAGAACGAGAAAACAGAAUUUUGCCAUAAACUCACUGAAGCUGAUCAAUGUAUAGUAUAAAUACCGUGUGCUCCUUUCAGUCGCUCCCAGUCACUACUUUAACAGUCUCCCUGCCUAGAUCAGGGUGCUAGCUCAGAGGUUAUAUAACAAUGGAUUGGCCUACACAGGGAAGCCAGAAUUAGUAUAAGAAGAUUUUUUCCAAACAACUCAUAGAUGCUCUGACAGAAAUGGCUCUCCUAUAUUGGGAGGAAAAAGCUAUGACGUAGCAAAAGUCAAACAUUGUAGUCUCGACUAAGAUGGAUGAAAACAUAGAAAGCAGCGGCGAGGAGAGCGAUAAUGACUCAAUUCUAGACUCGGAUCUUCAUCCAGACGGUGUAAUUGGUCCAUUCAUGUUUGAGCCGCAACAUAGCUCGCCUUCAGGAGAAGAAGAAAUUUCUGUUGACGAAGAAAUUCAGGAAGAGAUUCAAGGAGAAACAUCUACGCGCUCACUUCUUGGAAAUCUCGAGUGGUGCUCAUGCGGUAACUGUCAAGAGAUGCCAGCAGAAAACGAGUGUAUGUGCUGUCAAGAAAUGAAAGUACUGGGUGAUUGACUCGAUCUGGAAGGGAGCAAGCUUCAGUGUAUUACUGAGCACAGAUCAUUUGGACCCGUGUGUUUACUAGCCGAAGUCUUAAGAACAGCCCUUGUUGGCAUGCACCAAGUGAGGAAAGAUAGAGUUGGAGAUUAUCCGUCACAAUAUUUAUUGUAUAUAGACCUCUUUAGUUUGUAUGCUUUGUUUGUUCAUAAAAGUGAAUCAUGAGUAGAUACGGACGUGAACGAGACAAAAUUGAAAGAAAGAGUACUGAAGAGAAUUAUCACAUUACUUAUUCUAGGAAAAUUUUAAAAAAGAAGUCCACUAUUCUAAAUUUGUUACAAGUAAUCAGAGCCUCACGUUAUACGACGAGCGUCAAGAAGUCUCCCGUUGUUGAACAGCGUUAGCUUAGGAUAAGUUAAUAUCAGUUUCCCCAAUCAGGCACUUGUGGAUUGCAAUGCAGCGAUGAAAAAACCUUCUUGCGGAGAGUGACUUGAGAUUUAAACUCCUCAGUGCUUCGGUUGACGAGCUUCGGGGUGGGUGCCCCAGCAGAACUUUAGCAGCUUUAUUCUGUAGGAUCUGUAAUUCUGACAUUAUGGUGUCCUUGUUCUUGUCCCCCCAUAUAACAUCUCCGUAAUCAAAAAGAGGGAGGAUUAGGGUGUUGUACAAGGUAACUCUAGUUUGUAGUGGCAAUACAUUCCUGAUUCUCCUGAUUAGGCCUAUCCUUUGAUUAAUCUUCGUGCUAAUAGCAUCGAUAUGAUCUGCCCAUGACAUAGAUUGGUUGAAUGUCACGCCUAGGUACUUGAAUGAUUGUGUUUUCUCAAUGCAAGUGCCCUCUACUUUGACCAAAAUAUCUUAUUGCGAUUCAGUUUCUGAGGACUUCCAAAGAUAACAAAAUUACAUUUGGAUAUAUUUAGAGUAAGGAGAUUUCUAAAGAACCACUCAGGAUGGUAGUAAAAACAGAUAAAUAAAUGGAGAAAGCAGAAAGUGGGAAAAAUUAAGGAAAAUUGACUGUAGCAACAGUCUGUAUACUAACAUCAUAU